CACUGCCCUGGGCAGCCUGUUCCAAUGCCUGAACACCCUUUGGGGAAGAAACUGUUCCUAAUAUCCAGUCUAAACAUCCCCUGGUGCAGGUUGAGGCUGUUUCUUCCUGCCCUAUCACUUGUUACUUGGGAAAAGAGACCAACCCUCACCUCACUACAACCUCCUUUCAGGUAGCUGUAGAUACAAGUUUUGAUACAACAUAGUAAGGAAAUGUCCUCAGUAACUACUAAUAGCAAACAGUAGAUAUGUAUUGAUCACCUCCAGGUUUGAGCUGCCUUCAGGAAUCCAGCUUGGGCUCUACAGUACAGCUGGCAUGAGCUGCUGAACAUCUGGAAAGACUAAAUGGUGAAACGGACUGGGAGAAGAUCUGUCACACACCUCCAGACACGGUAACUGAGACAGGGAUGAGCACAUCCUGCACACAGACACCUCUGUGCUUCCCCCUCUAACCUGUGCGAUCAUUCACCAUGAGGCACAACAAGGGGGAAGGUACCUGCUGCAAUGAUGACAUCAGGUUGAAGAGCCAACAGUUGUUUUUCUGUAACUAAGCCCCACUCAAGUUCUGCAACAACUACUUUCGGGUUUCGGUGAUUUGCUCCUUCUGCCUUCUGGCCUCCAGAUUCCAGCUGGAUAUGUUGGGCAGCUUCAGGCUCCAGGACAAAGCCAUUCAAACAGAUGUUUUGCUUCAGCUGCUGGAGAACGCGGUGGUGGUAGUCACUAAAUAUGUAUGUCUUGGGAUUGCAGGUUUUACAGAUGGCAAUUCCAGUGAAGCCGAUCCCACUUCCUAAUUCCAAGACUGUCCUGAAGGGUAAAGAAGUACUUAGCAAAACUCUAAGUGGAGUUAGGAAAUCAAACCACCUACAAUCUAAGCUUUGUCUCUGAUAACACAGACAGUUGGUGAACACUGAAGAAGCCAUUGUAAGGAUAAAAAUCAAUCACUUGAAAUACUGCCCUGGCAUGUGGUACAAAGCAUUCCCACCAUGGGGAUGGGACAUGUUCUCACCUGGUUUUAGCCUUCUGCAGCGUGGGUGGCUCGAUCUAACCAAGCUCUUUUCAUACUAAGUGGAGAGAAACAGACACUUGGGUAGUGCAGUUCCUUUUCUUGUGAGCUCCAUAUUUUAAAUUAACCUAGAUGGAUAUUUCCUCAAAAGUGCCUGCUCCUCUCACCUGCUUAUAAACAAAGCCCAGAGGAGGAGAUCAGACAUGUGCACCUGCACACCGAAUGUAUACAGUCAGAUGGGAUAAACCUCACCACACAGUGAGUGCAGUAGUUACUCACUAGACACUGCAGUAGCUGAAGUUGAGCAGCCAACUCCACAGAGCAGGUCAGACUACAUGGUGUGACAGCUUUGAUCUUAAAACCUGUUUUAAAAACACUGCGAGCUCCUCUGCUGGAUUCAAGUUUUACUCUAACAUCUGACUGUCAAGAAUAGACCAGAGCAGCAGUUACCAGCAGCCAGAGGGUGUAGUCACUGUGGUUCUUUUGGAGGUACAUUGUUAAGUUACAGUUGUGUGGCUCACUCACACUGUGAAACGUCCCUCCCCAUCUCUGUCCAAGCUUAUGUUGGUACCUGUUCCUGAAGCCGGAAGGGUUCUGCAGUGCCCACUCGGCAAGAUGCAGAGCAGCCUCCCACGUGACGAGCCCCGUGGUUCCUUCAGAGAUCACUGCCACACUCUCAGAAAGGGUGACACACUCUCCUGUAGGCUGUGGACACACAAGGCAGCCAAGGUGGAUCAGCACAGACAUGAGCUUUACAGUUUACAACCCAUAUUAGCACCUGGGAGAAGGGAAGAAGCACUCCAGGGGUUAUUGUUAAAGCCAAUUAUUGCUUACUUCAGAGGAUUAAAGUGAUUUAUAACACUGCAGCACUGGUUCUUACCAGUAAGUAGUGUUUGUAACAGUGAGUAGAUUCUUCUUCAUUUAAAAUAGCUGCCAGUGGUUCGUACAGUUCAUCUAGGGGCUCAGCUGUGAUGGAUUCAUGCUGUGGGAGGCAGAACAGGCUGGGUUUGAGUAGCAAAUCGUAGUGAAACAGGAAACGUAUGUUAACUCAUGUUUUAAUACACUCUGUCAUUAUGUUU